rnacentral:tRNA from 1 species
GGGAACUUAGCUCAGUUGGUAGAGCCGAGGGACGGGCUCCCCCCUCGAGAAAGCCGGUUCAAGUCCGUAAACGUGAGGUCACGCUAGCGCUGGUUCAAGUCCAGCAGUUCCCA